GGGCGCGUAGCUCAGUGGGAGAGCACCGUGUUCACACCGCGGGGGUCGUAGGUUCAAUCCCUACCGCGCCCA
rnacentral:tRNA from 1 species